rnacentral:rRNA from 1 species
UACGUAGGGACCGAGCGUUGUCCGGAUUCAUUGGGCGUAAAGAGCUCGUAGGCGGCUCAGUAAGUCGGGUGUGAAAGCCCCGAGCUCAACUCGGGGAGGCCACCCGAUACUGCUGUGGCUAGAGUCCGGUAGGGGAGCGUGGAAUUCCCGGUGUAGCGGUGAAAUGCGCAGAUAUCGGGAGGAACACCAGCGGCGAAGGCGGCGCUCUGGGCCGGAACUGACGCUGAGGAGCGAAAGCGUGGGGAGCGAACAGG